rnacentral:pre_miRNA from 1 species
GUGUGUGGAUGGUGUUCAGUACCAGGGACAGGUGUGUUUGGUUCUGUGGAUGGUGUCCAGCACCAAGGACAUGUGUGUUUACCU